GUUGGAGGUUGUCCCAAGAGGCCUGCCUACAGUCACAUAUUGUCAGGAAGCCCUCAUGGAGUAACCGUGUGGAUUUUCUUCCCCUCAGGACCAUUUCUCAGGGUACUGGGAAGGAACUGUAAGUCAGCU
rnacentral:snoRNA from 14 species